rnacentral:pre_miRNA from 1 species
UGUGCACUUGGGGGGCCCUCAGCCUGGAUUGCAAGAGGGUGCAGGCCAGGCCGAGUGACCCCACCAGUGCACG